rfam:Camelus ferus unplaced genomic scaffold scaffold662, whole genome shotgun sequence.
GUGGGUAUAGCUCAGUGGUUGAGCGCAUGCUUAGCAUGCAUGAGGUCCUGGGUUCCAUCCUCAGUAACUCCA